ensembl:lncRNA
CAGCAGCUUAUCCCUCUCUUGUUGCCCCUGGCCUUGUCCGUCUGUCAUCCAGACAGAAGAUUUCCCUACCUUUGCCCAGGACUUGCCUGGACUUGUUCCUCAGCAAACUUUGAGUCAGUGAUACAAAAGAAUAAUCUCUUACAACGAUAACCUGUGUUUCCUGACUGUACAUUCUCUUUAUAAUUGUACAAUUAACACAUAUCACCCCUGCAUACCUGACAUUCAGUAAUCACUACAAGGAAACAUAGUGACCUCAAGUAGACCAUAGCUUGAGGAAAAAGAAACUAUCAACAUGAACGUCAUAUUCUUCCAAGCAGAGGACUUCAGAACUUCAGAUGCUGAUGAAUUAUUGUGACAGCAGAAUGAAGACACCAGCCUCAGGAUCUAGAAGAGCAGGAGAAGCAUGAAGAUAACAAAAGGAGAAGAGACAAAAAAAUGUAUGUAUAAUUAGUUAUCAUGCUAUUGCUGAAUUUUUUUUUCUACAUAAACAUUUUCUCUUUCUCUAAUAAUUAGAUAUGCAUUAUUAAUGAUUUUUUAUUAGGUCUUAAAACUUCAAUUAUAAUAACAAUAAAGUUUUGGCUUUGCAUGAGAGGGUGCUGGCUCACCCUUAACUUCUAAGCAAGAUUUUGAGAAGAACAUACUGUAAAUUCCUACUUCAAAAAGUAUAGUCUAGGACUAUUUCUUGUUAUCCAAAAGACUGGUAUCUCUCAAGAGAGGCUGGAGCAGGUUACUUUGCUUCUGCUGUUGUCACCUGUCCUUGAGCAUUAUUUUUGGAGAUAGAAAUACAUUUCUUCUGCUCUCUUGUCAGCUAUGUCAGAUUUUUCUUGCUUGGCUGUGUAUUUUUGUGAUUUUUUUCAUCAUUUUCUUGUGAUCAUACUGCUUACAGAAACAUUUUCCUGUACUGUAGCUUUUAUUUGACAUACUAUUCAAUAAUAGAACCGUAUUCUUGAGUUGGUAAUGAGUAUUUUUGUUUUAUUUAAUAUUUUGCUAUAUAUUUUAUAUAGAUAUUUGUAUUUUCUUCAUCUUUUUUUUUUAACUUUAGAAGAUGAGAAUCAAGACUAAUUGUUAAGUUUUCAUCAGAGAUGCUUAUAUUAGCAGAAUUUGCUGCUGUUGCUAUUUUGGUAAAGCCAAGUCACAGAGACCUCCAAGGGGUGCUAAAUGUAUCAUUGGAACUAUAGAAAAAAUAUUCCAUAAUUAAAACAUUAUAACAGAAGCUACUGUGCCAACACUUGAGGCAGUAUAUCAACUCAUUAAAAAAACGAGGCCUAAAUGCAAAAAAAAUCUACAGCUUAGUUUCUUCAUUGAAUUUGUAUAAGAUUUGGGAAAAAAAAGAUUCUUACUGGUUAUUGAGUUUAGUGAAUCAUAAAAUUCAUAUUUGUCUUUUUAAAGUUCGUAUUUGUUUUUUAAAAUUAUUAUUUCUGCAACAUUUUACAAUUUUAAAUUUAAAUAGAAUUUUCAGGAAGAUUUGAACACAGAAUGAAUUGGAAUGAUUUGGAAAUCAUCACUUUGUUAUGGAGGAAGCUGUUGUAAAUCGGCAUGUGUUACUAUAAUUUUUUCAUUCAUCAAUAAAUAUGUGAAACC